GACCUGUAUAUGGCAAAAGGAAGAAUUUUCAAGUUCAAUAUAAGAUCUUCACUGCAUGAAAAACAUAAAGUCAUCGUGAUGGAACAAUCCACAUGCCAUCAAAAGUUGGGCACUCUAGCUCCCAAGGUAUUGGUGCAUUUGCAGCUUUGUUAGUUUAAUUGAAAUAAUUAUCUAAAUACUCACAGACACUGCUAUUCGUGAUCCUUUGUACCAGGACCUAUUUUCUUUUCUGUUCUCCAAGAAAUUAAGAACAUCCUGUGACAGGGGAAAAGAAAGAUCUUAAGUUUAAUAAAAUCAAGUCCAUACAUACCAUGAUCUGUAAAAUUUAAAUUGAUCCAUCGUCACUAUGCUCUACCUGC
rnacentral:lncRNA from 1 species